rnacentral:rRNA from 1 species
GACGAACCGUACGAACGUUAUUCGGAAUCACUGGGCUUAAAGGGUGCGUAGGCGGCGCGACAAGUUGGGUGUGAAAUCCCUCGGCUCAACCGAGGAACUGCGCCCAAAACUGUCGUGCUCGAGGGAGACAGAGGUGAGCGGAACUUAGGGUGGAGCGGUGAAAUGCGUUGAUAUCCUAGGAACACCGGUGGCGAAAGCGGCUCACUGGGUCUCUUCUGACGCUGAGGCACGAAAGCUAGGGUAGCGAACGGG